rnacentral:tRNA from 1 species
GCCGCCUUAGCUCAGCGGUAGAGCAGCGCUUUUGUAAAGCGCAGGUCGCGGGUUCGAAUCCGGCAGGCGGCU